rnacentral:lncRNA from 1 species
UCUUUUUCUAAGUUUUGUGGGAAAAGAGCUGGGCUCUUCAGUAGCACAGCUGGUAAGCAAGAGCUGCAGCUCCAUUGCUGUGGCUGGUGGGGCAUUUCCAGCAGAAACCAAAUGGUUGGAAGCAGCCCCCUCACUUGCUCUCCAGGGUGCAGUGGUCUGGAAGAAACUCAAACACAAAAUGAAGAAUAAGAGGUGUUAUACGGGGAGGGCAUCACCUUUAGCAGUUGGUAGAAGUACUUGUGUUCAAGUUUGACUCAGAAAAUGCCAUUUUUCCAUGUUGUAUAGUUCCUGGGUGGUGUGACACAAUAGCAGGGAGGAACAAAAGUGAGGGGUGGCAGUGCCUUGUAACCCCAAAGUCCAUAGGAACUGGGGGCAAUGCCCAUCCAUUAUAUGACCCAAGGAGUAAGGCAUGAUUUUGUAGGCUUGGUUGUCACUCCCCAGAUACCCACACCAUACUGCCAGCAGUGCAGUGCUGUACCGUAUGGCAGUGACGUCCCCCAUGAAGCUCGGCUGCCUCUGCAUGGAGAACCCAGGGCCCAGCAAAGGCUCUUCAGGUGUACACGGUCAGGAUCCACCAGUGUUUAGUUUCUCUUGUGGAGGUGAUGUGAAGCUUAUAAACUUAUUAAUGCCAGUCACCAGUGCUCCUCCUUGGUAUUCAGUGUAAUCUUCAGGAAGUGCCCACCAGCUCUCAGUAAUCCUGUCCUUGGAAAGUUAUCACAACCAUUUGACAAAAGCUUUCCAACAUCUCCCACUCCCUUUACUAUCGUAGGAUGUGAUUUAUCAUUGCAGUCCAGGUGAUCUGACAACUUUUAAGAGUACUAAUUGCCUUAUUAUCCACUCCAGUGCAAGAGUAAAACCUUUUGACAUUUUACUUCCUUCCCUGAGGAAAACAAAUCCUGGUUCCUGGGACAUUACCUUCUGCUGCCUCUGUGAUUACUGGGGCGAAGAAUUUCUCUAGGCCAUUUGCCUUAUCAGCCUCAUCUGUCACCAGCUUCCCAGUCCCUACUCUCAGUUCCCCCUCACUGCUUUGCAUCCUCCGUUAUUUCAUGUAUUUCCAUAUUUUUUUCUUUUGUUUUUUAUUUGUCAUGUCAAUGUUCAUCACAUAUUCCAUUCCUUUUUUUUUUUUCUAUCAAUGUGCUUUUUCACAUCAGGCUCUGUGAUACCUUGCUUCAGUUUUUACUAUUUUUAUAUUAGUGUAGG